CACAAUGUUUCUAUAUUCUCAUUGUCAUAGCACUAUAGAGUUCUUGUUCUCAAUCCAAUCCUCAUGCACAUCUAUAAACCUAUAUGAAGCCACAAUAUUUUUUACCACGUGGCAUGUUAUCCUUUAUUCUCAUAGCCCAACUUUAAAUCAAACCACUUUCUCAUCUUCUCAACACCCAACCUUUCACCUUCUCACUCCUCUAAUUACAUUUAGAUGCAACUUUAAAUCCAACUUUAAAUCAAAUCGCCUUCUCCUCUUCUCACCGCCCAACCCUUCACAUCCCCACUCAUCUAAUUACAUGUAAGGUGCAAUAUUUAAUUAUAUGUACCAUAUUAAUAUUUCAUCAAUGAGUGAGUUUUAUAACUUUAAUUCACUCCCCUCCUCCAUUAAUCUCUCACCCUAUCUCUUUUGUAACUCUUUUCCAUUAAUCUCCCACCCCUCUCUUUUGUAAUUUUUUUUUAUGCAUCAUAAAAAAAUAUAUCAUCUUCUAAUCUCCCACUCCACACUCAUCUCCUUCUUUCUCUCAUUAUCUUAACGAAGAUAAAGAGGAAGAAGAAGAAAAAAAGGAGCCUCUAAAGAACAUUGUCUCCUUCGAAAAGUAUCAUCCCGCGAAGCCGAGCCACGGCCCAUAUAAGUGUCUGCUGAGCCGGUCCUUGCGGGGCCCCUGCUCACCAUGUGAAUUUAGUCAUGCAAAUUGGAUGUGUUUAAUAUGAUAUAACUUUCUAUAUAUCAAUAAACUGUAAAUAUAAGUUUUAUUAAAAUUUUUAAAUUUUGCUUCUAUUAUCUACCCGCUGCAUCGCGCGGAUCUCUACACUAGUAAUUCACUAUGUUUCAUCUCAUAUUUCUACAAAUACC
rnacentral:lncRNA from 1 species